rnacentral:rRNA from 1 species
GUAGGUGGCAAGCGUUGUCCGGAAUUAUUGGGCGUAAAGCGCGCGCAGGCGGUUCUUUAAGUCUGAUCGUGAAAGCCCACGGCUCAACCGUGGAGGGUCAUUGGAAACUGGAGAACUUGAGUACAGAAGAGGAAAGCGGAAUUCCACGUGUAGCGGUGAAAUGCGUAGAGAUGUGGAGGAACACCAGUGGCGAAGGCGGCUUUCUGGUCUGUAACUGACGCUGAGGCGCGAAAGCGUGGGGAGCAAACAGGGAUUAGAUACCCUGGUAGUCCACGCCGUAAACGAUGAGUGCUAAGUGUUAGGGGGUUUCCGCCCCCUUAGUGCUGCAGCUAACGCAUUAAGCACUCCGCCUGGGAAUACGGCCGCAAGGCUG